rnacentral:rRNA from 1 species
UACGUAGGGGGCAAGCGUUGUCCGGAUUUAUUGGGCGUAAAGCGCGCGCAGGCGGUUUAUUAAGUCUGAUGUGAAAGCCCACGGCUCAACCGUGGAGGGCCAUUGGAAACUGGUAGGCUUGAGUGCAGGAGAGGAGACUGGAAUUUACGGUGUAGCAGUGAAAUGCGUAGAUAUCGUAAGGAAGACCAGUGGCGAAGGCGGCUCACUGGCCCAUUACUGACGCUGAGGCACGAAAGCGUGGGGAGCAAACAGG